GGUGGAUGCAGCAAAAUAUGAACCCUGCAGUAUUUUAAGCCAGCUGUUGACUUUGAUCGAGACAGCCGCAUCUUCUCGUGCAGUGCCAGCCUCGUCUCAUAGACAAGAUGGUGAAGGUCAGUGUGAAUGGAUUUGGCCGUAUUGGGCGCCUGGUUAUCAGGGCUGCCUUCUCCUCUGCAUCUGGCAAAGUGGAGACUGUUGCCAUCAAUGACCCUUUCAUUGACCUCAACUACAUGGUCUACAUGUUCCAGUAUGACUCUACCCACGGCAAGUUCAACGGCACAGUCAAGGCUGAGAAUGGGAAGCUUGUCAACAACGGGAAGCCCAUCACCACCUUCCAGGAGCAAGAUCCUGCUAACAUCAAAUGGGGUGACGCUGGUGCUGAGUAUGUCGUGGAGUCUACUGGCAUCUUCACCACCAUGGAGAAGGCUGGGGCUCACUUGAAGGGUAGAGCCAAAGGGGUCAUCAUCUCCGCCCCUUCAGCUGAUGCCCCCAUGUUUGUAAUGGGUGUGAACCACAAGAAAUAUGACAACUCCCUCAAGAUUGUCAGCAAUGCAUUCUGCACCACCAACUGCUUAGCCCCCCUGACCGAGGUCAUCCAUGACAACUUUGACAUCGAGGAAGGGCUCAUGACCACAGUCCAUGCCAUCACUGCCACUCAGAAGACUGUGGAUAGCCCCUCUGGAAAGCUGUGGUGUGAAGGCCAUGGGGCAGGUCAGAACAUCAUCCCUGCAUCCACUGGUGCUGCCAAGGCUGUGGACAAGGUCAUCCCAGAGCUGAACGGGAAGUUCACUGGUAUGGCCUUCCGUGUUCCUACCCCCAAUGUAUCCGUUGUGGCUCUGACAUGCUGCCUGGAGAAACCUGCCAAGUAUGAUGACAUCAAGAAGGUGGUGAAGCAGGCAUCUGAAGGCCCACUAAAGGGCAUCCUGGGCUACACUGAGGACCAGGUUGUCUCCUGUAACUUCAACAGCAACUUCCAAUCUUCCACCUUUGAUGUUGGGGCUGGCAUUGCUCUCAGUGACAACUUUGUAAAGCUCAUUUCCUGGUAUGACAAUGAAUAUGGCUACAGCAACAGGGUGGUUGACCUCAUGGCCUACAUGGCCUUGAAGGAGUAAGAAACCCAGACCCACCCACCCCAGCCCAACAAGGAUACUGAGAGCAAGAGAGAGGCCCUCGGUUGCUGAGGAGUCCCCAUCCCAACUCAACCCCCAACACUGAGCAUCUCCCUCACAAUUCCAUCCCAGAUCCCCAUAAUAACAGGAGGGGCCUAGGGAGCCCUCCCUACUCUCUUGAAUACCAUCAAUAAAGUUCGCUGCACCCAAAAAAAUAUUAUUAUAUAUACUACUUAGUCUCCCUCUGAAAGCCAGCAGCAGACUUCUGAAUAACACAUCAUCUUGUGUAUGUGUUACAUACAUGUUCUCCAAUAACAAGGUAAGAAGUUGAUUCCUUUAAUGACACAAGAAUUUCAAGACAUUCUUUCCCCUUCAGCAUUUCUAAGACUUCUUGUUAGUUCUAGGAGGGUGUAAGUCUAUAAAGUAUCAAUUAAAUGUUCUUGAUUGUGGAUAAGACUUGCAAAAGAAAGCCCUGUUAGCAGAAUGACCGUUGCCUCAUAUCUCUUACAGUUAAGAUUGUGCCAUGCUGUAUUCCAGAUUUAAAACUGAGUGUCAAAUUAAAUUUAACCAAGGGAGUCCAAAGCUCAAAGUCUAUCAGAGAUUAUAGCACUGCUGACAGCUGCCUCCUAGAUCAUUCUGAUUACAGGUGUGCAUGAUAAAACUCUAGGGAAUACUGGCUCACUGCCAACCCAUUAGUUCAACAUUUAGAGAUUUGUUUGUUUAUCUUUAUAUGUUAAUAUUAAAGAAAAUGUAUCACUCCUGACAGCAGGAGAGCUCAACCUCCAGAGUUCUGCUACUGUGUGAUCACUAUAUCUCUCUACUUUUCCAAAUACUAAAUUUCAAGAUAAAUUCCAAAUACAGCAUUUUUACAAAUAAAAGAAAGACACGUACAUUGUAUUAUCCUGUGUUCACAAAUCCCUCUUUUUCUGAAAGAUUAGGCACUAUAAGUGUGAAGAUCAUAUUUUUUAUUCUUUUAUCUAGCCCACUUAUUAUUCACUUAAAAUUUAAAAUAAAUAAAUAAAUUUGGGCACAAUAUAAGAUCAACAUGUGAACAAAGGUCUUAGUCAUUAAAACUUGAAACCUAGUUCGAGGGUCUGACACUCAAAUAACUAGCAAUGAAGGAAGUAAGAGAGCUUGGAUUAUGAUUCAUAUUUGCCCACCAAGUACCAGACAAAUAAGUUUAAGCUAUUUUUUCCUGAUAUUUCUUGACCUUAAAAAAAGCACACCCACACACAUACAUCCACAUCCACACACACACACACACACACACACAAACACAAACACACAUGCACAGAGCCAAAAUAUUGCAGUCAUCAAAUGAAGUAAGAUACAUAUUUUGGGCACUGCAAACUUCUAUAUAUUCUUUUAGUUGUUGUGCUGGGCUCCCUGAAAACACAGGGUGUGUGUAUGGAGUAAGCGUCCUGAUUUCUUGCAGAGAUCAUCAGAUAAGGAACUAAAGUCUGAAAAGACCAAGCGGCCCUCUCAUGCAGUGCCUUGACGAUCCUGAGAGGGAGCAUAGGCAGUGGGGGAGGAUGUUCUUGGAGUGGCACGUGUCUUGCCCUGUGUUUCAAUGUAUCUUGUUGAGGAUGUAUCUGUUCAGCACUUUUUCCAGGAUAUUAUUCAACUGUGAUUUUUAGUGAUGAGACUCUAGCUUACUGCAAAAAAGGUCAUGCAACUUAACCUAAACCGAAUGCCCUGGCCUAGAAAUUUGCAUUUUAAGGAUUGAAAGAGCUGAAGGGGCUUGCAACCCCAUAAGAACAACAAUGCCAAUCAACCAGAGCUUCCAGGGACUAAACCACUACCCAAAGACUAUACAUGGACUGACCCUGGGCUCCAACUGCAUAUGUAGCAGAGAAUAGCCUUGUUGGGGCAUCAGUGGAAGGGGAAACCUUUGGUCCUGCCAAGGUUGGACCCCCAGUAAGGGGAAUGUCAGGGUGGGGAGGGGGAAAGGAUGGGGGGGUUAUGGACAGGAAACUGGGAAAGGGAAUAACAUUUGAAAUGUAAAUAAAGAAAUAUAGCUAAUAAAAA